AGCGGCGAACGGGUGAGUAACGCGUGAGCAACCUACCUUAGUUACUGGGAUAGCCCGAGGAAACUCGGAUUAAUACCGGAUAUCCUUACUUAAUCACAUGAUUUUUUAAGGAAAGGUCAGCCGAACUAAGAUGGGCUCGCGUUCUAUCAGCUAGUUGGUAGGGUAACGGCCUACCAAGGCUACGACGGAUAGCUGGUCUGAGAGGACGAUCAGCCACACUGGGACUGAGACACGGCCCAGACUCCUACGGGAGGCUGCAGCAGGGAAUAUUGUGCAAUGAACGAAAGUUUGACACAGCGACACCGCGUGUGGGAUGACGGAUCUAGGUUUGUAAACCACUUUCAGGAGGGAAGAAAAUGACGGUACCUCCACAAGAAGCCCCGGCCAACUACGUGCCAGCAGCCGCGGUAAUACGUAGGGGGCGAGCGUUGUCCGGAUUUAUUGGGCGUAAAGAGCUCGUAGGCGGUUCAACAAGUCGGUCGUGAAAGUUCAGGGCUCAACCCUGAAAUGUCGAUCGAUACUGUUGUGACUAGGAUACGGUAGAGGUGAGUGGAAUUCCGAGUGUAGCGGUGAAAUGCGUAGAUAUUCGGAGGAACACCAAUUGCGAAGGCAGCUCACUGGACCGCUAUCGACGCUGAGGAGCGAAAGCUAGGGGAGCAAACAGGAUUAGAUACCCUGGUAGUCCUAGCUGUAAACGAUGGAUACUAGACGUAGGAACUGGAUUGACGGUUUCUGUGUCGUAGCUAACGCGUUAAGUAUCCCGCCUGGGGAGUAC
rnacentral:rRNA from 1 species